CCCUUAGAUGUUCUGGGCCGCACGCGCGCUACACUGAUACGUUCAACAAGUUCCUUGGCCGAAAGGUCUGGGUAAUCUUUGAAACCGUAUCGUGAUGGGGAUAGAACAUUGCAAUUAUUGUUCUUCAACGAGGAAUGCCUAGUAAGCGCGAGUCAUCAACUCGCGUUGAUUACGUCCCUGCCCUUUGUACACACCGCCCGUCGCACCUACCGAUUGAAUGGUCCGGUGAAAUCUCCGGACUGGCGUGAGUCGGAGCAAUCUGACAAACACCGGAAAGUUGAUUAAACCUUACCAUUUAGAGGAAGGUGAAGUCGUAACA
rnacentral:rRNA from 1 species